AGAAACUUAGGAUAACACAAACCAAGGGCCUUCAAAGCCCAAAAUAGAGAUGAAACUUCUCUAGUUUCUG
rnacentral:tRNA from 1 species